AUGAUAUGUUACAAAUUACAAUUCCUAUAUGUCACAAUUUAAAAAAAUUAUAAUGUUACCAAUUUGCUAAACGUAUGGUACACUGUAUGUUACAAAUUCUAGCUAGGUGGCUAAUGGUAGCAACUAGCUAGCGUUAGCUAGGCUAGGGUUUAGGGGCUAUGGUUAAAGGGUUAAGGUUAGGGUUAGCUAAAAGGGUUAAGGUUAGGGGAAGGGUUAGCUAACAUGCUAAGUAGUAGCAAUGUUGCUAAUUAGAGAUUCAAACUUGCAAUUUAUGGCUUGCUUGAUGUUCGCGUUAUCCACCCACCUCGAUUAACCAUCCUCCUUUCGUUUUUGCCAUACAGAAUACGAAAUGCUCUGAGACCAGGUUGCGAGAGCUCCAAAAGGUGAACAAAACCAGCAGGCAGCUAGGGAGUGCCAAACACACUGGCAUGGCGUACAGAUGCAGGUUGAAAGCCUUCAGGAACAGAAGGUGGCAUUGCAGUCCAGCGUCACUGAAGUUGGGUUCUGGAUAGGACUGAAGGAGAAAGAGGAUACAGAGGGGACCUGGACAUGGCUUGAUGGGACUGAUCUGACUCAGGGGUACUGGGAAGACGGAGAGCCCAAUGACCACUAUGGAAUGGAGGACUUUGCGGCCAUCAAAAUAAAUCCCAUGAAGUUCUGGAAUGAUGCUACUUGUACAAGUGAAAUGCAAUCAAGGAAGGCUUAUAAAUGACUGUAAAAUGUCCAUUAUUUAAUUAAGUAAAUACAUAGAAAAUAAUAGGCAUUGGAAUCAAAUGUAAAUUGAAGUUGUACAUAGCAUAAGAUUGUAUCUGUUGAAAUAAAUUGUCAUACUGUAAAGUUGAACUCAUUCAUUUCUGUGUUUUGUAUCUUUUU